ACAAACCCUGCUCACCUGUGAUCCUCUAGGGAAGCCCUGCUGAAGAGGUGAGCCCGGCGAUACAGCCUGCAGGUGCUGAAGAUUUGUUAAUCACCUCAGGCCAGUUACUUUAGGAGGGAUAACUGAAGGGAGUAGUAAGAUGGAGAUGAGGAAAAGGAGGCAGUAGGCAAGAUAAAAGAGAAAAAAAGAGAGAGGUAUUGAUGUUAAAAAUGUAGUAAAAAGAAUUGGAGUUAGCAGCAUCUUUCCACCAGUUUUUCACUCUGCAGAAGACUUCCUCUCGCUGUAAGUCGCAAGUUGUACCAAGGCUGCAUGUGUAUUCAAGGCUUAUGCAGCAGACACAGAGCAUGAAUGGGAAUUCCCACCAAGUUAUACUUUGAAGUAUCUGUCAGCUGUUCGAGCAUCCAAUUUUCGAUGUCUUCAGGCACCUGAAGUUUACUUGUCUGGCUUCACCUUUAAAGGGCUGAGCUCCCAUCUGGACUUGUAAAUAGUUUCAACUACAGUUCUCUUCUAUAACAUGGAUCCUCGUGCUAACAGCUGAAAUUAUAUAAUCCAUCCAGAGGUAAAGGAGAAUUUGAGCUCAAGGGACUGCAAAAACUUGUUCAAAUCCAGCUAUUUAUGUCAUGUAGCAUGAUAUCCCUGAAGGAAGGAAAGGAUCUCCAAGACCUGUGUGAUGCUAAUGAAAUCAGAUCACACUGUGUCAGUGCUGUAUAUUUUGCAAGGCUAUUCCAUUUACGGAUUCUACUGAAGGUGUUGUUGGCAGUCUUAAAAAAAUUCUGAAUGAUCCGGGCUACGCAGCCUCUGGACCUGGUGCAGAGCAGAUGCCUACCUUGGAGAGCACCUCAGGUCUUUGAACCAGAAGAAGCAGCAGCUGCAUUUGCUGGGAGCUUUCCAAUCUGUUGCCUGCUCUAACUUUAUGAUAGAUGGAAUGGAUUUAUUUUCCAUGUUCUGAAGCAUUCUUUAGGCUGCGCUACCAUGGAGGACAUGAGUUUACACCCAGGAAAAGCAGAGAAUCAACAUUUCUCAAAAUAGG